rnacentral:rRNA from 1 species
AACGAACGCUGGCGGCAGGCCUAACACAUGCAAGUCGAGCGAAGCCUUCGGGCUUAGCGGCGGACGGGUGAGUAACGCGUGGGAACGUGCCCUUUGGUACGGAAUAGCCCCGGGAAACUGGGAGUAAUACCGUAUGUGCCCUUCGGGGGAAAGAUUUAUCGGCCAAAGGAUCGGCCCGCGUUGGAUUAGGUAGUUGGUGGGGUAAUGGCCUACCAAGCCGACGAUCCAUAGCUGGUUUGAGAGGAUGAUCAGCCACACUGGGACUGAGACACGGCCCAGACUCCUACGGGAGGCAGCAGUGGGGAAUCUUAGACAAUGGGGGAAACCCUGAUCUAGCCAUGCCGCGUGAUCGGUGAAGGCCUUAGGGUUGUAAAGAUCUUUCAGUGGGGAAGAUAAUGACUGUACCCACAGAAGAAGCCCCGGCUAACUCCGUGCCAGCCGCCGCCGUAACAC